GAUCUCAACUUCUCUCUCUUUCACGCUGCUUCUCGUUGGAGCAAAAUGAGAGAUCUGUAUCGAUGCUAUUUCCGUCUUCAAAUUUCUUUGUGAUGGUGUUAUUUGAUUUGUAGAUGUUUGUAUUUAUGUCUGUAUGAAGUUUUUCGUCCUUUGUUUGUGGUGAUGAUUCUUGCACAUCAGGUGUUUGUGUAUAUGAGUCUAAGAAGCUACAUUUGGUUGCCACCCUCUCGCUGGGGCAUCCUAGCAGAAAAAAAUCUGAGCUUUAGCUGUUCUUUGCUUUCUCUAUUCAGCAGGCAGAUUAGAUAGAACAGAGAAAGGGGAAAAUGUCGUACAUGCGCGGAGACUUGCUAUCCAGGACAAGGAAGUUGGUGAAGGGUCUCGCAAAGCCUACCCCGGUGUGGCUUAAACCCAUGGAAGACUUGCUGGAGGCAGGUUGAUUGUAACGAUUGGUUUCACAGGGCGCCGCCGGUGACAUUCCCACGGACGGAUGGGAAGAUCAGGAAGAUUGAAAUGCCGGAGGAUGUAUAUGUCAAGAGAUUCUUCAAGAAGCAUCCGGAUUCUCUCUACCAUGAUGCUGUCAAGUAACACUGCACUCUUUCUGCCGCUUCAAUCUCUUGUGCUAUGAUGAAAAAGACCCUAAGGUCUUAUCGUGGAAGAAAGGGGAGAAAAGGGAAUGAUCGCUUCGAGGAGGGGAUCGGCCUCCUAGGGUUUUGUCAUGAUACUGAAUAAUAUUUCAUUGAUUGAUUGAUUGAUUUCUGAAAAGAAAGGGUGACAUCACUAUUUAUAGAGUUCAUAAUAGACUCAAUAAACAUUAUUCAAAAGCUCAUAAAAGGGUCCUAACAAUUCCUCCCUAUUCAAAUCAGUUUUGUCCUUAAGGUUGAGUAGCAUCAAACUCGGGGAGCUUCUCUUUCAGCACUUCAACUAUAGGCUAUCUACAACGCAUCACAACCCGUUGAUCAAAUGUGCAAAUGAAAUCGCAGCUAUUAUGGUGCGGGGUUGACGAGCCUUAACUUCAUAUCGAAUCUCUGGAUUAAGCCCUUCAAUAAAUGUACCCAAAAGUUAUCGUUCCGACCAAUCUCUAGCUUGAUUUGACAAUCUUCCAAACCUGCUCUGAUAUUCUAACACUGUAGAAGUCUGACGAAUUUUGACGAGCUGUCCAUCAACAUUCUCAUAUUCUGAUGGGCCGAAGCGAACAAGAAGCCCUCUUUUGAACUGCUCCCACGAAGGAACUCCGUGGAAAGUUUCAUACCAAUCGUAUCACUGGAUUACAUCUCUAUCGAGCUGGAUUGAGGCCACUUCUAUCUUGGAUUCUUCUGGGGUUCUGUGAAAAUGAAAAAAAAAUUUCGCCCCAAAGAUACAACUGGUAGGAUCCCCAUCUUCCCAUCUCGGAAAUUCCACCUUCAUGUAUGAAUAGUUUAUGUCACAGUCUUGGGGCCCUUUUCCUGUAUUUUCAGAUCUAUGCAACGUAGAACUUGAGCCCCUAUCUUGUUGAAAUUUGCUGAGGCUCUCCAAUAGGCUCUUUUUGAAAUCAUUAAGUGUUUCUUGCAGCCGGUUCUCAAUUCUGAUUUCCAAUGCUUCCAUUUGUGCUUUCACUGAGUUAUAGGUGGCCAUUACGUAAGACUGCAAAUCUGUAAUCCCCAGUUCUUGUUUCUGAUGUCUGGUCAAGGGCAUCAACACUAUCGAUACGAACCUGCCGAGGAAGCGGACGUCGAGGGUAGUGCUGCGGUCGUGGUGUUGGAGGAAGAGUUGCUGUCCUGUUUCUGUCGUUGCGUAGGGUGAGAGCGUCGGGGGCUGGAAGGCGACUACGUCGGUAUGGUUGUAGCUGCAUGGGGUGAGAGCGCCGGUGGCUACGAUGGCGUGGAUGGAAGGCAGCGUUGCUUUGUCUCCAUCGCACUGCAGAAGGAGGCGCUAGUGACGUCGAGGGAUCGCGUGCGGUUGAGGAAACGAUGGUGGCUGCGGCGGUCGUGGUUGCCUUGUUUUGAUCGCCGUUAGGAGGGAUGGUUGAGCGACUGCAACUGUGAUCCAAGGAGAGUCAGCGAUGGUGGCGUGGUUGGGGACAACGUCGCCGACGGUAGAAGCGAUGAGGGGUUUGGUCCGUUGGUCGGGAAACAGCAGUGGGGGAGGGCGGCGUUGAAGCGGCCGAGGUUGAAAAGGGGAGUCAGUGUGUGCGUUGCCGGGUUUGAGGCAGCGCCGUGCAAGAACUUGCUACGUGUGCUGCUGGAGGGCGGCUGUGGCAGCGGUGGUUGCUGGCCGGAGCGAAGCGGCGACGGUGGUCGCUAGCCGGAAGCAGAGGAAGCGGUGGUGUGGUUGGAAACAAGAAACAAUGCUCUGUUUCUAUCGCUGCGAGAAGAGAAGGUUGCUGCCGGGGUUGAGAGGCAGCAGUGGCGAUGCGGUGGGAGCAAGGUCGUCGAGGGCGAGGAGCAGCAAAGGGUCGCCGGGGCUAGGCACUGCUAGGGGGUGGUUCGCUGGCCGGGAAUGGCGGCAGUAGCCCUUUCUCGGUUGCCUUGUUUUGGUCACCGCGAGGAGGGGAGGUUGCUGGCUGGGGAGCGGCGGCGGGGGUGGAGAAGGAGGCAACGAGAGUCGCGGCUGCGAUCGACGAGGGGCUGCAGCAAUAGAGGAAGCUCUAUUUCUGCAACCGCUAUAAGGAGGGGCUGCGUCAACCGGCGGUUGCGACCCAAGGAGGGGCGGGCACGAUGGCGGACUAGGGCAGCGUCGUCGACAGUAGAAGCGGCGAUGGGGUGGUUCGCUGGCUGGGAAACGACGCCGGCGGUCCUUCUCGCUCAAGCGAGAUGGGGAAGUGAGGAGAGGUCGCUGGCUGGGUGGGGGUAGCGGUGGCGGUGGUGGCUGUUGGCUAGGCAACAGCGGCAGUAGUGGUGGUCCCUCGGUCGGGAAGCAGCGGCUGCAGUGAUCGCUGACCGGAGAUUAGCGGCGGCGGGUGAGCUAGCCGGAAGCAGGGGAAGCAGGGGUGGCUGCGACUUCUUCUUCUUCUUCUCUCCUUUUUUUUUUAGGAUGAAGAUAACUACAGCGAGGGGGCAGCGGCGGUGGUGGUGGCUGCUGGCUGGGCAGCAGCAACAACGGUGGAGAAGGGGCAACGGUGGUCGCUGGCCGGGAUGCAGAGGUUCCUUCUCGGUUAAGAAGGAUCGGCAUUCGUGGCUGUUGGCUUCACCCUUCCUCAUGCAAAUUUCUUUUUUUUUUUUUAUAGUUACGGCAACACUGCAACGAGAACGCGAAGGAUCGCCGUUUUGAUACCAAAUGAUAAGACCCUAAGGUCUUAUCGUGGAAGAAAGGGGAGAAAAGAGAAUGAUCGCUUCGAGGGGAUCAACCUCCUUGAUCGCUUCGAGGGGAUCGGUCUCCUAGGGUUUUGUCAUAACAUUGAAUAAUAUUUCAUUGAUUGAUUGAUUGAUUUCCAAAAAGAAAGAGUUACAUUACUAUUUAUAGAGUUCCACCUAGGGUCCAUCAGGAUUUGGACUCUUAAUAAUAAAUAAAUAUUAAAUAAACCUCUACCUGAUUCUAACUGAACUAAACUGAUUCAAUAAACAAUUGGACUAAACAAACUCAAUAAACAUUAUUCAAAAACUCAUAAAAGGGUCCUAACAUAUGAUUGCUUAUCCUUUUGUGCUCUAGUGAUUGUAAUUAAUGUGUAUGUAAUUUGAUCGUGAGAGCCUUGGGUUUUAGUGUUUCAAUUUGUAGUUAUAAUGUGCUCGAUUGACAAAUUUGUACUGUGGUAUCAUCGGUACAAUUAGAUUUACUGUUGUAGUCAAUGACCAAAAUCUUAAUUAUGGGUAAUCCCCCUCAUGGUUUUUUGUCAGCUGCUUUCUUGUUUCAGUUCAAAAGGUUGGAAACUUGGCAUUAAUUUUUAGUUAAUUCUGUUUGUGUAGAAAUGAGUUACUUUAGACAGAUUUUUUGCGAUACCGAUUUUCCUUCCAAAUAGUGCUGAACAAAUGCAAUGAAGUACAGAUCGUAAUGAGUUGCUCUUAUUU